CUUCCUCAGCCUUACUCCAGGGGCUUUUGGUUUUUUUUGUAGAGUGCCCUGGCAUUGCCUGAGGAUAAAUUGAAAGUAUGCUCAAUUCCCUCCCCAGUAAGACUCUCAGUAUCCUCUGGGGCCUACAAUUUGAGCAAACAUU